AAACAAUAGGAAUAAAACCUAAUAUACUCAAACAAUGAUAGCUGCUAAAAUAAAAAGAAAUUUCCCAUUUCAUAAAACAAAUGUACAUAUAAAUUUUUCAGUGCUUAGUAGAUAGUCCCCUUAAAAUUAAAAAGGUGCAUAUAUAUGCAAACAAAUGAAAAAGUCUAGCACAAGAAGUAUCCAAAAAGUAUAGUUCAGUAACAGAGUCCUGCAAUCCAGAUAACGUUGUAAUAUACAGGAGCUCAG